rnacentral:rRNA from 1 species
GAUGAACGCUGGCGGCGUGCCUAAUACAUGCAAGUCGAGCGAACAGACGAGGAGCUUGCUCCUCUGACGUUAGCGGCGGACGGGUGAGUAACACGUGGAUAACCUACCUAUAAGACUGGGAUAACUUCGGGAAACCGGAGCUAAUACCGGAUAAUAUAUUGAACCGCAUGGUUCAAUAGUGAAAGACGGUUUUGCUGUCACUUAUAGAUGGAUCCGCGCCGCAUUAGCUAGUUGGUAAGGUAACGGCUUACCAAGGCAACGAUGCGUAGCCGACCUGAGAGGGUGAUCGGCCACACUAGAACUGAGACACGGUCCAGACUGCUACGGGAGGCAGCAGUAGGGAAUCUUCCGCAGUGGGCGAAAGCCUGACGGAGCAACGCCGCGUGAGUGAUGAAGAUCUUCGGAUCGUAAAACUCUGUUAUUAGGGAAAAACAAAUGUGUAAGUAACUAUGCACGUCUUGACGGUACCUAAUCAGAAAGCCACGGCUAACUACGUG